rnacentral:lncRNA from 1 species
CCGCCAUCUUGGAUUGAACAAUCACAGUAAAAAAUCGGUCUAGUUAUUUGCCUAAAUCUGCAAAUUUGGAGACAGAUUUGCAAUUUGAUGGUUAGACUGUUUAAUAAUAUAAAGAAAACUUGGCAAUUUAUUGUAUAAUUCAAAAUAAUUAAACAAAUAUCAUUUUAUUUUGCUUUUUGAAUCAUUUUUUUCAAAUGAGCCAUUUAAGGGAAGAUAACUCUUUUAGUAAAAAAUUUAUACUGGACAGAUAGGGAAUUUUUUUCUUUUUACUUGUAGCAAGAAAA